CGGAGUGUGAGCUUUUGGAGCUAGGAGUUCACAAUUUCCUCCAUCGCCUCCACCUUCUCACCUCCCUACGGCUCCUGCAAGAGCGGGAGUGGAGGAGAGAGUUGAGGAUGAUGGCUGAGGGACGCUUUGCCAGCCUACCCAGGUCCCUCAACACACAGCAUGCCCUAGGAGGAGGCCCCGCCCGGCCGGGGGAGCCCAGGGGUCCACUGGGUGUGUCUGGGGCCAGCCCAAUGACCUCCAGGAGGCUCCAGGCAUCCCUCACCUCCUCCAUGGAGCUCAUCAGUUCCUCCAGAAACGGAACUAAUUCAGGACAGGGCACUGGGCAAUCAGAGCUGCCCAAUGCCGCCUACCACACAGUCUCCAUUCACGGAACUCUGCCUCGGCGCAAGAGAGGCGGGGCUAAUGAUAACCAUGCCCAAGGCCACUACACAUGGGACCCACGAGCCAAUCAAUCCAACUCACACGUUCACACGCCAUUGGUUCCAGCGCACGUUCGUCAACCCAUGUCAUCGCAAUUCGUCAACAAUGCUAAUGACGACUUCAAGGGUUACAG
ensembl:lncRNA